rnacentral:rRNA from 1 species
UACGUAGGGUGCAAGCGUUAAUCGGAAUUACUGGGCGUAAAGCGUGCGCAGGCGGCUUUGCAAGACAGAUGUGAACUCCCCGGGCUUAACCUGGGAACCGCAUUUGUGACUGCAUAGCUGGAGUACGGCAGAGGGGGAUGGAAUUCCGCGUGUAGCAGUGAAAUGCGUAGAUAUGCGGAGGAACACCGAUGGCGAAGGCAGUCCCCUGGGCCUGUACUGACGCUCAUGCACGAAAGCGUGGGGAGCAAACAGG